GGCCCCCGACCCCACACUCGGGGAUUUCUAGGCGCCGCCUUCCCCAGGCUCCCGGACUCUCCCCGGCUCUGGCCGGACUGGGUCUCCCCGACCCCUGCCCACCCAGCCCAGGCCGGACCCCCCGCAGCUCGUCCACCUCCCAGGCUGGGCCGACCCCCCAGCACUUAGUUGGUCUUUAGGACACGCCCCUGUGCUGGACUGGUCUCCCGGGCGCGUGUAGGAAGCCCGACAGUGGCUCCAGUCACUUUCCCUGGGUGACCACCCUGUGUACGUGGGUGGUGCCUGUUCCACAGCAACACAGGACCCACACCAGGCCACUCCUGGGGAAGCCACCAGCAGCCACUGGACAGUAGGCGAGCAAGCGGCCCCCUAGGCCCUGUCCACCUGGGCCGUUCCAGUACAGUGUGGAUGCGUCCUGAGCGUCUUCCCAUCUAUGCGGCCCGGCGACACCAACAUGCAAGGCCUGCGGGAGCUGGGAGGAGAGCUCGGCGGGAUGCCCCUCCUAAGCGGGUCUCUGAGUGACCUCCCCCGGGAAGCAGGCGAGGUUGCUCUCCGCCAGGCUUCUGAAGACAGCAGUGCAAGCGAGGCAGCUGGGAGGCAGAGCCCGGCCGAUGUGGAGGGGGUGAGGACGGGCUCCCAGCUUUCUCCUGCCCCGGAAGCCAGGAUCUCUGGGCUCAGUGGGAGCUUUUCCACCUGCACCACGCCGGGUCUGGACCCAGUGGAGCACAGCAGUGCCUGGGGGGAGUUUGAAGGCUUUCGGGAAUCUUCAGCCAAGUCUGAACAAUUCUCCCGGUCCUUUGAACUUCCGGAGAGGGCCACAGCAGCUCAGUCACCAAGACCGGCUUCCCACAAGCAGCAUGGUUCUCAGCCACCGCCCCAGGGUGGACCUUGGGUGACAGGAACCGCGGCCAUCUCACCUUCUGAGCCCAUGGUCAGCUACGAGAAAAUUUUUAGGUUUGCUUUUCAAGAAGUACCAGUCGAGCAGGCAGCUGAAGGUGUUCCCACCUUAGACCAUUUCCUAGAGGCCGGCAGUGAGGGGGAGCCGGGCCUGGGGUCUGUACAUAAACGGUGUCCCGAAUCCAGAAGGCUCUGGGCAGCUCUGCACCACGCAGACAGCACGUCCACAUCCCGCUGCCCGUGGCACGCCUCCCGCUGCCGGCAAAACUUCUUGCUCGUUCUCGGAGUCGACUCUGCUCAGGUGAGUGACUCAGGUGGAGGUGGGCGGACUGCUCAUGACCGUGCCAGCCCCCUGUGGCCACGGACACAGCGUCACCUCGGGACACAGCGGGCUGGCCUGUGGGGUCCAGGUGGUGAAGCGCUGGCUGUCGGGGUUGGGACGAGGCAGGCGCAUGGGGAGGAUGGGGGUGCCUGGGGCCCAGGCGCCAGUGCCCGCCCCGUGUGGCUGGCAGGUGUCUUGGCGGGCCAGCCCCGGGACCAGGUCAGAAGGAGGUGCCCAGUGGGGGCACUGCCACUCAGCGCGAGGGUGAGGAGCCGGGAGGGCGAAGUCAGCCGGGGCAGCUGCGUCUCAUGGGGACACCAGCUGACAGCAGUCUGGCUCAUGAGUUAUCGGAGACCAUGCAGGCUGGUGAGAGCUGGUGCUCAGCAAUGAGGUUGGCAAGGACCUUCUUCCAUGUUCGGUAUCAUGGAGAUUUCCAAACAUGGGAGACACAGAGGGGCUGGCAGGCCCAGUGAAGAUGGGCACGGCGUGGUUGCCGAGUGGGCCGGGACAGAGGCGACGGGCCACCUGGCUGUGUCCUGGUGCCAGGCCAACAGCUGGGAGGGCGGGGUGGGGGCAGCCUAAACAGGAGGCUCAGCGGAGACAGCUCCAGGCCUGCAGGUAGUGAGAAGGUGCAGGGGCCCCCUAGCCCCGUGACGGGUGACGGGAGGGCAGUGAGCGGCAGGGCUGGGGGGCAGGGACACGCAGUCUGCGGGGACAGGUGCUGGAGCUGUGACGAAAGAAGGGGGGCAGGGGCAGCCAUCUCCCCGGCUCCCCGCUGGCCAACAGCCCUUCGUGUCCUCAGGACGUUUCCGGGAGCGAGGGUCACGCGGUGGAAGGUGCCGAGCCCCGCGAGCCUGGAGGGGCCGGGGCCCACGGCGUGCAUCCGCCGGGCUGCGGAGCGGUGACGCAGGCCGAGCUCUCAGGGACGCCAGGCAGCAGGCCGGGGGGCCUC